rnacentral:rRNA from 1 species
AACGAACGCUGGCGGCAUGCCUAACACAUGCAAGUCGAACGAGACCUUCGGGUCUAGUGGCGCACGGGUGCGUAACGCGUGGGAACCUGCCUUUAGGUUCGGAAUAACUCAGAGAAAUUUGAGCUAAUACCGGAUGAUGUCUUCGGACCAAAGAUUUAUCGCCUUUAGAUGGGCCCGCGUUGGAUUAGCUAGUUGGGGGGGUAAAGGCCUACCAAGGCGACGAUCCAUAGCUGGUCUGAGAGGAUGAUCAGCCACACUGGGACUGAGACACGGCCCAGACCCCUACGGGAGGCAGCAGUGGGGAAUAUUGGACAAUGGGCGAAAGCCUGAUCCAGCAAUGCCGCGUGAGUGAUGAAGGCCUUAGGGUUGUAAAGCUCUUUUACCCGAGAUGAUAAUGACAGUAUCGGGAGAAUAAGCUCCGGCUAACUCCGUG